GUUCAUUUUUUUUACAUAAAUAAGGCCGUUAGUUUUCUCGUUUGAAUUGUUUUACAUUGUCUUAUCGGGGCCUUUUAUAGCUGACUAUGCGGUAUGGGCUUUGCUCAUUGUUGAAGGCCGUACGGUGACCUAUAGUUGUUAAUGUUUGUGUCAUUUUGUCUUUUGUGGAUAGUUGUCUCAUAGGCAAUCAUACCACAUUUUCUUUUUUUUUUAUUCACUGAUAUUUAAAGUGGGGUUAGUUGGCAUGUUUAAGAUCGUAAAUUUAAGUUCAUCGUCUAUUUCUUUAGUAUUUUUCAUACUUGGUGGGAUGAAAUCGCAGACCAUUAUUCAGUGGUAUUUUAAUCCUUUUCAUAAGUUUUGGGUGCCGGGUGCAUUUUAGAAAGUGGGCGAGUUGGUGAAAAAGUGGGGCGAAUCGGUGUGGGGCGAGUCAUCAUAGUAUACAAAAAGGAUCAGAAAGUUGGUUUCUCUCCCCCGAACUAUUAUAGUGUUCUAUAACUACAGAUGCUCGUUGCUCGGUGAAAUCUAAAUGUAUUUCAUCUUCAAAAGACGACCUGUCACUGUCUUAAGUACUAUAUUUGUGCUAAUUUAUGUUUUAAAUAUGUUAACACAAGCUUGUACUCUGAGUGUUACUCAGGUCAAUCUUCCGUUUUUUGCUCCUGAGUCCUGGUCAGGUUGUCUCGGACUCUCCUUGACACAUUCCCAGUUGAUAAUCUUUGGACUUCUAUUCUGUAUUUCUGGAGAUUAUUUAAAUGAAUUGCCGUUUACUAUAUAGAAGGCAGAACAGAGACCAGGGCCGUGAGGGGCGGAUCCAGCUAUUUAAAAAAGGGGGUGUUUCAACCACAUGUCCCCAUUCAACAUGUUCAAAUCAUGCAUUGAUCGUCUAAAAAGGGGGUUCCAACCCCAAGAACCCCCUCCCCUGGAUCCGCCACUGUAAACAUGUUGCAGUUAAGUACAAUUUCCAACAUCCAAUGGAUUUAGUGUAAAGAGGUAAUAAACAGUGACAAAGAAAAACAUGACCUUGUGCAAUGCCAAAAUACCGAGCAAAAUACAGGUAUGAACAGAUUGUAGAUCUAUGAAUGUAUAUAUGUAUACAACAAUAAUAUUUAGUCUCCUUUUAAUUUACUGAUAACAAAAUCAAUAUUAUACCAAUAAGACAUUAUUCAAUGAUCUAAUCAUUGUGUUGAAUUGAUAACCUUUUUUCUCUAAUUCUUCGUCAAUUUAUCCCUUUCUGCACCCAUUGUAUAAAAAGAAUUUAAUCAACAUGUGGUUCGUUUGAUCUUAGAACUUCAUUGGUUAACAUGGUUAAAAUCCGAUUAUGACAUGUAUGACGUCGAAAUUUCUUGCUUUCCUCUGAAAUUCCUAUUGUGACGGCAUGAAAAAAGGCGACCAUGCCUGAUGACGUCACAUAGAAAGAACACAUCUUUUUGCAGAUCAUUCGAAAACAAGGAAUAAGUUUACCUGCAUAAUGUUAGAAAAUCAUUAGAGAAACAGAUUCCACCACCAUUGGCACCAAAUCUCGUGUAAUACCUCGCGUUUUUAAUUUGAAAAUUUAACUGUCUCGAGUGGAUAAAUAUCGUAUUACACUCGAUGCAGUGGUAGAAUCUAUAUAUACAUGUAAUAUAACAGUGUUAAAAGUAUUUUUUUAAAGAAUAAUGUUUUCUUAUCAUGUCAAUAAAAAUAAUGUUAUUUUGAUUUAUAACACAUAUAUUUUAAAUUUCAGAUCAGUCUCUUACUAAUUUACAAACACAUGUACAGCAUAUAACAUGUAUAUCAGAAUGUACAGACGAUAUAAAGAAAAUACAGGUGAAUUUUGGGACAUCAGUAUUAAAGAUUAAUAAAAAGAAAUUCACAGGAACAACUUUGUUUGGUCUCAUGAUAAAUGAUACAAAGAAACUGCUGAAGUUCUGGCUCGACACUGGAGAAUUCUUAAAAGACAGGGAAAGAUAUGUUCAAGAAUCUUCUUCUAGUGGUGAGCAAUCAGAAGGAGAGGAUGAGUAUUACAAUGAGCCGGUCCAGAACAUUGAUAACCUUUCAAAUGAAGACAACCCCUUUGUUACACAACUGUCACAAAUUUUACCAGAAAGAGCUAUCAGUAUAAAACAUUUGGAUGUUCAACAUGCUGAAGACAAUUUUUCUCAAGAAUCAAAAAAAAAAGGAUGAAAGCUUAACUGAUGAGUCCACAAUGCAAGGUUGAACAGAAGACAGUUGAUGAAAAGUAUUAGUUUAAAGGCAAUUGGGUUCAAAUUCCUAGACAUAUUUAAUUUAAAAGAUCCACCAAAAAGGUUCAAAGUCAGAGAAGCUGAUGAAAACUUUGUUGAAAAAAUAGCGAAAGUAAUGGUUGAAAAAAAUUCUGUAAGUGUUGAUAAUGCUCCAAAUAUAAUUGGCCUUAUUGACAUAAAAAAUAAGGUUGAUUACAAAGAAGAAAAUUUUUCUAAAUAUGAGGUAUAUAUAGUGGAUGGGAACCACAGUAUUAAAGCACAAAAAGAGGCAUACAUACAGACAAAAGACGAACUGUUCAGGCAUCGUGGAGUUUUCAUAUACUGUGGUUUAACAGAAAAUGAAGCAAUUCUGCUUGGAAUCAGCAGAAAUGAGGACACUGAAUCGUUUGUGAAGUUCUCUGAUUUUCAGAAGGUUGAUGUACUGAGGCGUCGAUUGUAUUCCAUGACAGGCACACCAGCCCACGCUGAUCCACCUACAGUUCCUAAAGAAUUUAAGGAUGUAUUUAUCACUCUACUUAACUUGCAAGGUAAAAAAGCAGUAGACAGCAAAAGCAUGCUGAGGUUCCUUGCAACUGGACUUUCCUAUCAAUGCUAUGAACUGUUUAAGAAUAUAUGCUCAAAAAGCACUGGAAAGGUUCCGGCAUCAAAAUUUGAUGGAAUAAAGGGUUUGAAGGAAGAAGAUGCAUUAUUUUGUCUCAUCAAUCUCUCAAGUAGCAACCUUCAAAGAAAAGAUUGGCAGAAAUUUAACUACUUGUGUCAAAGCAAGCAAUCAAAGCCAAAAAAGUUGAGGAAAGAUGUAACACUAAAUAUAAAGUUCCAAACAAAGUGUACUCAGGGUUUUGUUGGACAGAAACAACUUGCAGGGAAUUACACCUGGUUUCAUUUCACUGAUUGUAAUAACAAGCAGAUUAUCUUAACUGAUAAAGAAAUGGAAAGGCUGGUGUUUUCAUCAAAAGACAAGAGGCUUCCUAUUUCUUCAACUCCAAAUUUGGAUGAUGAACAAGAUUUUUUGGAUAGAUUCUCAUCUCAAAGAAGCAGUGACCUUGAUUCACAUGAUUCAACAGAUCAAUUUUUGACAGGAGCAGAAUGUGCAGCUACAACUUCACUUCCGGGAACUACAAGUUUUUCAUCUAAUGGUAGCAAAAGUUCCCUGGGUAUAUCAUUUUCAAUGAAACUAAGUGGGUUUUUACAUCACAUGGCUGAUUCAGAUGCUGUUUUAAGAGCAGAAUCAGGAAUGUCCUUAAUUGAAGAAGAAGAGGUGGAGACAAAGCCAGAACAGUUGAUCAGUUAUACUGAUGUGUUGUUGUGUCCAGAAACACAAACUGCAGCAGAGCCAUACUUUAGUACAGAUGCAUGGCAGCUUGUUUUAAAUACUCUCAAAGUAUAAGAAGAUAUGUAUAUUGUUAACACUCAGAAGAAAUAUGAUAUGAUUUCUCCAUCUUGGACAAGAAAAGGCAAAGCUUUAAUAGGAUCAGCUAAAGGAAGAAUAUUUAAAAAGUGUUCAAAAAAGAAAUCAGACCAGAUUGAUUCAGGUAA